AAUAAUACAGGCUAUGGCAUUAGCCCUGGCGCAGGCCAAAACUGCCCUUUUGAAGAGAGGCGCGGAUAAUGCCUACUACUAC
rnacentral:ncRNA from 1 species